GUCUCAUGGAGAUGGUGUUUGUAGCCUUUUUCCCUGUCUCCUGUCUCUCUCACUAAUUCUUUCUGCCUCCUCUUCCUUAGAGGAGGAAUGUGUGUCUUGUUUAGGCCCGGGUGCUCAUACAUCACUUAUUAUCAGCACUCUGUACAGCCUGAGUCUCUUCACUCACCCGGACCACUAGGAAAAAACGGUGUCUCUGAUUAAGGCUGAGAGUGGCAUUUGUCUACGGAUAUAAAUUUAACCCAAAGAAGAAGGCCCCUGUCUUCUGGAGUAUGCAGAUGGUGUGGCAAAAGGUCGACACUGGGUCAAGGAAUGCAGAUCAACAAGGCACAGACAAGGUUACCUCACUCAGUGUCAGGGGCCUCCGGCCAUCAACCAGAUACGGCUGCCUCACGUACUCAUAAGAAAAGAUGUGACUCAACAUUCAUAGAGAGUACAUGACUUUGGACCACCCUGCUACCUCUGUCAAAUUCCAGAUACAGACCUGCGGCUUAUCUGCCUAGUCUAGUGCAUAGGCUUGAACAAUAGAAGGUGGAAUGUGAAAGAUAAAGUUAGAGUCUGCAGUUACGUUACCAGAGGACCAGAGGACACAGGAUGACCUAC